UACAGCUGUCUCAAACUAGGACCGAGUCUAACUUGCGACGCCGUCCGAAUUGUGUACGUUCAGCUCGCCAUUGUAAAUAUCGAACGAUCUUCUACUGCUCGCCGCCUGCCCACUCAUUAUGAAUCCUUANAUGGAUCAUCACCCCCUAUCGUGCCCUUUUGAGCAUAAUUAWGGCGUAUGCUGGAUGCCCUCUUUCCCCCGUCAAAUGACGAGAGCGAUAAUUNUACUCGGAUUCAGUCUAAUCGAUCUACCACCCCAUUUCCGGAUGGUACCGCUGYUAGACAUCGACCNGACUGUCCUACUAGUCGGUGUGGCCCUGACUCUGUGCCGGGCCUGAGGAUGCCCUCCGUCGUCACCCCUUAUAACCUGUUACCCCMUUUGGGACUAGGUCGGUACGGCGCACACACUUCUUCCGGAAAACCAACAUUUCGAGAAAUUCGUCACUUSUUCUGAGGUACCAAUUAUGGGUACCUGCUACUGNAAUCGACGUCUUAUUCGUGGCCGAUUGAGACACGGUCGUCGGCGCCA
rnacentral:rRNA from 1 species